UACGGAGGGAGCUAGCGUUGUUCGGAAUUACUGGGCGUAAAGCGCACGUAGGCGGAUUGCUAAGUCAGGGGUGAAAUCCUGGAGCUCAACUCCAGAACUGCCUUUGAUACUGGCGAUCUCGAGUCCGGGAGAGGUGAGUGGAACUGCGAGUGUAGAGGUGAAAUUCGUAGAUAUUCGCAAGAACACCAGUGGCGAAGGCGGCUCACUGGCCCGGUACUGACGCUGAGGUGCGAAAGCGUGGGGAUCAAACAGG
rnacentral:rRNA from 1 species